rnacentral:tRNA from 1 species
GGAUCCGGCUCAGUGGUAGAGUACUUGCCUAGCAUGCCUGAUGCCCUGGGUUAGAUCCCCAGUACUCA